ACAAUCUCGAGACAACAGUGCCUGGUGCUAAAUUUGUCUACGUAUACAUUUAUAGUUCUAGUCUUGAUCUCAUCAACAUCCUCAGGCUUCAGAUCCACGAGCUAGAUACAGGUCGUCAUACACUACCCGGUAGCUCUACUAAGUGAAGAACCGGAUUUCACCCUUUUCUUCGCGAAUAAUAUGUGAAGUUCCUAGAGCAAGCUACCUUCGCCUACCUUCCAUCUAGAAGCGGAAAUGAUAAGAACUGGUAAACAUGUUAACUACAUUACGGAUUGCUCGUGGAUCAACAAUCCCCAGGCUUCAGGUAACUGCAUUACUCAGUGAAGUAACUACAUUACUCAGUAAACGCACAUACAGUUAAAUAUAUUAGCCUUAUCCUAUUUAUCGGAUUCUUUCUUCCCAAAUAUGCAUUUCUUUGAAAGAGAGAAUAAUUAUGAUCUAAUUGCUUUUUCUAACAUAGUUAUUUAAUUUUGAUGAAAGUGAUUGUUAAAAUCACAACAUAUCAAAACUUUUCUUUAAUUCUUGGCUUUUAAUAAUACACAAGAUAAUAAAUAUAUAUAUAUUCGUUUUUACAUGCCUUACAUGCCCGAAGUGGUUGUAUACUGCCUAAGACAAAGUCAUUGGUCAAGAAUGAAUACAUGACAGUAGACACACAUUAAAGAACCCAUGUAAUCCAAAUGUCUACCUAGUCCUUUUAGGACCUCUUUGAUGAAGCUCCAUUAUAACAUGUCGUAUGCUUUGCUCAUGUCAGAUUUGCCAGCCAUGGAGCAGUGUUUUCAGGGUAUUACCAGUUAACAUGCUUGAUGUCAUAAUACAUAUUUAGCGGAUUGAUGUCAUAUUUAAUACAAUUCUAACGAUUGAUGUCAUAUUUAAUACAUAUAACCGUACCUAAAAUCCACGGUAAUAAUUGUAUGUGCGUUUGUAAAUGCUUAGGGUACGAUCAAAGUGAUGAUCAAUAGUAUAAAGCAAUGUGUAAGAUAGUUUCAACUUCUGGAGAAUAUCAAGAGCACAUGGUUUUAACACUAGGAGAUGAUAAUAAACCUUCAUGGAGACACAUUGAAGGCACUACCAUGGAUAAUAUCCCUUUCACCCUUUGACAACGGGAAUCUGUAUCAAUGGGUUUUUGUAUUAUGGCGUUUGGACUCCAACAGAUAUAAGAAUGAUAGUGUGUUUUGAUGUUAGAUCAUAGAAGCUAAGUUUUAUCAAACUACCUAGGAAGCAGAGUAUAAAUUGGGGAGGUACUUCAACUUUGAUGAACUACAAAGGAAAGUUAGCUAAUGUUACUGUCCGCAGCCACCAUGACGACAUAUAUUAUGUCUUUGAUCUAUGGGUAUUAGAAGUGCCAACGAACAUCGAUGGUCGAUGAGACAAUGUUCGUUUCUGAGAUCUUGGUGGAACUUUUUUGGGAAUAUUCCAAUAUCUUUUCAAGGCACCAACAAGAUAGGCGAAAUUAUUAUUGCUCCAAAGUUUUUGCCAUGGGACCGUCAACCUUUUUACAUUCUCUUCUUCAAUGUAGAAAAUAAUAAUAUAAGAAAAGUUCAGGUUAAAGGAAUUGUAGAUGAUGAAGGUUUCAGGCAUCGGUAGGGAAUUGGGAUCAAUGGGGAUUGCGAAGUCUAUAUAUUUCACCGGAACAUUGUGCAAAUUUUAAGUUUUUAUAUGGGUUAAUUUGCCAAAUAGCCAAUCUUGGAAGCAUAAUUAAGAAUAUGACAAUGAUUUUGACAUUAUUAAGUCAAUAACAUUUAGCUCAAGUUUAGUCGGUUAUACCCUCUUCUGCUACAAAUAACCGGUGAAUAAAUCACGUAGAUGACGUUGAAGAAAAUAAGGUAUGGUCAAUAUUUACUGCGCACUGUUGAAAAUGAAGACACCACAUCCAUCCACGUCAUUUACAUAACUACUUCAUAUGUUUCUGUGCUCAGUAAAUCUGUUCAUGAAAAUAAAUUAUUCUUACAAUAAAUAGUAUAUUCCAUUUAUUUCUCACAAUUAAAUCGGACUGUUAUAUUUCAUAUCAUCCAAAUAGUAUAAAAAAUUUAACUAUAUCAUAAUCCCUAAAUAAUAAAUUUGAUCUCAAAUCCACAAACAUCUAAAUAAUAAAUCCUAAACAAUAAUCACUAAACCCUAAACCCUAAUCAGUAAACCCUAAAACCAAAUAUAAUCCAUAAACUCAUAUAUAAACUCUAAAUCUAAAUCUAAAUUUUGAAUACUAAAAUUUAAACUAUUAUCACUAAAUCCAAAACUCAACCCCCACUUUCCAAAUACUAAACCCUAAAUCAUAAUCACUAAACCUUAAAUCCAAUUAUAGAUCAAAAACCCAAGUAUAUACCCCAAUCCCAAAUAGAAUGUAACAAAAUACAUAGUAUAGUAUAUAUUGGUGAACAAAAUAGAACACUUUUUAUUAAUCGUCAAAUGAAACGAUACAUGAUAGGGUCACUAAACCCAAGCCUUAACCACCACCUUUCAAAUACUAAAUCCUAAAUCCUACUCAUUAAACCCUAAAUCCAAGUAGAUCCCAAACCUAAAUAGAAUGGAACAAAAUAUAUAGUAUAGUACAUAUCGAGAAUGAAAUAGUAUAUUAUUUAUUAAUCGUCAAAUGGAUACAUGAUAGAGUCACUAAACCCAAACCUCAACCCCCACCUUCCAAAUACUAAACUCUAAAUUUUAAUCAUUAAACCCUAAAUCCAAGUAUAAACCCUAAACCCAAAUAGAAUGGUUAGUACAGAUUGGAGAACAAAAUAAUACAUUCUUUAUGAAUGCUCAAAUAAAAGAUACAUGGUAAAAAAAAAUAGUAACAGACUAAUUCACAUUAUAUAACAUGAACAUAACACUUAUAAUAUAUAUUGGUUUAUAUUUCUAUUCCUUAUGCAUAUAAAUAGAAUAGAACAUAAUGUUAGAAAAAAUGUUUAUCUUCUCCGAUCAACUAAAGCAGUAUAACUACCAGCUCCAAAAUCGAAAUUUACAAGCGUUUAAGUAUGGUCUUCACGAACUGUUGAAUCUCGAAGUGAGAAAUUACUCACAGAGACGGUACGAUUGUUGCGACUUUCGAGUUCAGAAGCCGUGAAUCCUUUGUCUCCCAUCUCCAACAAAGGCGUCACAAUCGGGCUGGUACUCCACAAACGUCGCUGGUAAUAUACUCGGUGAUUUCAGUGGCGGACAAAAUGGAGAAGAAAGCAUUAAGCUUUCACAAUUAUUAUCAUUUACAAUUUGUGUCAAAAGAAAAGACACGUUUACUUCUCUAGAAUAAAUAAAAAAUAAUUUAUAUUUAUUUUCUUUCAGCAGGUUACACCGGUUGUAUACAAGGGUAAAAAUGCAUUAUUACAUAAUAGACAUAAAGUAUAUUGGUAUAAUAGGGCAAUUGGUCACUGAGUUAAUUAUAAUUUGUUUGGACGUCAUACAGUGCAAUUUCCCUUUUUAUAAAGUGCUAUAUUUUUUAUUCUCAUUCAAGGAUCCAUAAGAGUGAUAAGGAAGAUUAAUCAGUGUUUUAUUAUUCUCCUUCCUCAGUGAAUUUCAACUAUUAUUCUUUAAUCACCAAAAAACUUGUUUGACACAUCAUGCUCCGCACAACAAAACAUACAACUGAGGUGCCUUUUCGCUCAUCAAAGCUAAAAUUAUGUGUUUUUAGCCUGUUCGAAAACGCGGCCGACUAGCCGCCUAAGCGCUGUUCAGACGUUGAUCGCAGUGAAUAUGAUGAAAUAGGUGAAGCAAGGCAUUAACCCGCGUAAGACUGCCUAAUUUCUGUGUUUCUCGCCUAAUUCAUGCGUUGACCGCCUAAGUUUUUUUUCUUGUCCGUGUAAAGUUAAAAUAUGAUUGAUUAUUUUUUACUCAUUAUUGAGAUUUUGUGUAAUUAUUCAUUACUAAAUAAUUACAAUUAGCUAUCAAACCCAAAACAAACACAUAUAUACUACAUUUAGGGAUUUUUUCGUACCAAACACACCCUAAUCUAAAUGUUUGACGAAUCAAAAGGAGUCUGUUUAAAAUAAUAUAUAAAAAGUAGUUAUAUAAUUCUGUCUAAGAACUUGUGCAUCAUGUUUAAAAUUAGCUAAACAUAUUAUAUAUAUAUAUAUAUAUAUAUAUAUAUAUAUAUAUAUAUAAAUUAAAUUGUAUUUAAAAUUAGGUCCCAAGUAUUCUCCGAGUACUUUCCGAUUAUCGGUAACUCGCUAAGCCUGGGAUUACCGCCCGACUAGCGCCUAACAUAGUUCCGAACAUGGAUUUUAGUAAUAAAACCAUUACAUUUUGAAUUUUUUUUAUAAAUACGUUUAGCAAAUAACUAGUCAAGUUAAAAUCUUCUAAUGACAACUUUCAAGUCGUGUCAUCAAAAGUGGAUGUAAAUAAUAAAAACAUUUUUUACGUUGAAUAAACUAAUAUAUUAAUGGGUCCAAGCCCAUAAACAGUUUAGUCCAUAAAAGGGUUUAUUACAAUAGAGGAAGAUCGAAGCGCUAAAUUAGCCAACGAAUGGACAUGACAAAAAUCUCACACAUCCUAAAAAAAUCUACAUGGGCUUAAAGAGAGGAAACUGACCAUUUUGCCUUUAAUGAUGGCGCAAUAUGGAUCAUUAGAUCAGAUCAUCUCCCUUAUAAUGUGAGCCGUCAGAUCUUCAGAAGAAAAGAAAUGAAAUAAUUACAAUAAUGCCAUUAAUGAAACUCAUCUUAGCCGUCAGAUCUUUCCUCUGUGUUAUAAUCUGAGUCGUCCAAUCUCCCCGUUAAAUCUCUCCUUCUCUCUCUUGCCUAGGUCCCACCAUAAAUUUAAUCAGUCUUCCUCUUCUUUUUCAUUUCACCCCCAACCACACUCAACCACCACGAAAAUUCAUUCUAUUCACCAGCCAAAGCUCUAUUCUUCAACUCUUCAUCCACAAACAUGUAUGUCUGUUUCUUAAGGUCUUUUUACAGCUUAGGACACCGUGAAACAUCACAUGUGCAUCGUCCUUGGUUCUGAAAUCGCUUGGUAAGUGUAUACUCUCGCCCUCUCUUUUUCUCUCACUUUUCUCUGUCUCUUUUUAUUUUUCUAAUAUUUUAUGUUUCAGUUUAGUUACAUUAUAUGUAUGUUAAUGUUAUGAGUCAGAUUCUAAGGUUUAAUAUAAUGUUUUUAAAAUAUGAAGCAUGAUAUUGUAGAAUAAAUCGUUUUUGCCUAGGAUACAACAGGUACAAUUUUUACCUAUGUAUCAAACAAUAAAGGUGAUACUGGUAUAACUGGUCCAACUAUGUCUUAUUUACCAAGCUAGUGAUACUGAUAUAACUAGUACAACUAUUCAGGUUCUGAAAUUAAAAUAUUCCAUUGGGUAUUGCAUAUGAAAAAAACAAUUAGAUGGCCAAAUUGGUAAGUAUUUAGAUAUGUUCCUUUUUAUUUGUGAUGAUUUUUUUUUCGUUGGCAAUUAUAACAGCAUCACAAAAGUUUGCAUGAUCGACCUUAUACUUUUAAGGCUUGUUAAUUUCUUUAUUCACAUAAUUUUUAGAAAAUGAACAUGAAAUGUAUUUUAACAAAAUUAAUGAUUUCAUUGUAUUGGGGCAAAUACAUGUAAACAUAAAGAAGUGGUACAACUGAGGUAAGUUUAAUUUUUAUAUGGUACCACUAGUGUUUUAUUUCAGUACCAAAGUACAACUACGUACAAACAGAUACAACUCAAAAAAUAGUACAACUAUCUAUAAACCGGUACAACUCGAAUACUAGUACAACUAUGUUAUUUCAUUUUGUAUUGUGCAUCACUUUUUAAACGUGUAUCAUGUUUUAAACAUUCUGGUUGAACAUUAAUGUUGAGUAGUUGUAAUAGUUGUGCCGUUCUUGAAAAAAUCAUGUAGUUUAACAUGUUGUAUUAGUUGUACCUAAAUAAAAUAAUUUUAAACUCAUCACAAAUUUUUUAACAUUCCUCCAAAAGAAACAAGUUAAACAUCCUAAGAAACAUAGGUUUUAACAUACAAAAGAACAUAGGCUUUAACAUCCAAAAGAACAUAAGUUUUACGAACAUAAGUUAUAAGAAAGCC